CAGAGGUCGGGGAUUACCGGAGCCGCGGAAGACAAGCCUCAUGCUAUCAUGCCAUUCUUCUGUCAGGCUCUCUACACUUCCCCCAUUUUCUUUAAUGGUCAGCAUAGACAAUCGGUGGUUUUCAAACAUUGUCAUUACCGUACGCUGCAAACAUUGCAUUAAACAGGGUAAGAUAAUCAUGAUG